rnacentral:rRNA from 1 species
GAUGAACGCUAGCGGCAGGCCUAAUACAUGCAAGUCGGACGGGAUUCAGGAGCUUGCUUCUGAUGAGAGUGGCGCACGGGUGCGUAACACGUAUGUAACCUACCUUUAUCAGGGGGAUAGCCUCUCGAAAGAGAGAUUAAGCCCGCAUAAAAUCACAGCACAGCAUUGUGUAAUGAUCAAAUAUUUAUAGGUUAAAGAUGGGCAUGCGGAACAUUAGCUAGAUGGCGGGGUAACGGCCCACCAUGGCGACGAUGUUUAGGGGAUCUGAGAGGAUGGCCCCCCACACUGGUACUGGGACACGGACCAGACUCCUACGGGCGGCAGCAGUAAGGAAUAUUGGGCAAUGGGCGGAAGCCUGAACCAGCCAUGCCGCGUGCAGGAAGACGGCCCUACGGGUUGUAAACUGCUUUUAUACGGGAAUAAACCCAGAUACGUGUAUCUGGCUGAAUGUACUGUAAGAAUAAGGAACGGCUAACUCCGUG